rnacentral:rRNA from 1 species
GAGGAAAAGAAACCAACAGGGAUUGCCUCAGUAACGGCGAGUGAAGCGGCAAAAGCUCAAAUUUGAAAUCCCCCGGGAAUUGUAAUUUGAAGAGAUUUGGGUCCGGCCGGCNGGGGUUAAGUCCACUGGAAAGUGGCGCCACAGAGGGUGACAGCCCCGUGAACCCCUUNAACGCCNUNAUCCCAGAUCUCCAAGAGUCGAGUUGUUUGGGAAUGCAGCUCUAAGUGGGUGGUAAAUUCCAUCUAAAGCUAAAUACCGGCGAGAGACCGAUAGCGAACAAGUACAGUGAUGGAAAGAUGAAAAGCACUUUGAAAAGAGAGUGAAAAAGUACGUGAAAUUGUUGAAAGGGAAGGGCUUGCAAGCAGACACUUAACUGGGCCAGCAUCGGGGCGGCGGGNANCAAAACCACCGGGGAAUGUACCUUUCGAGGAUUAUAACCCCGGUCNNNANUNCCUCUACUNCCCCGAGGCCUGCAAUCUAAGGAUGCUGGCGUAAUGGUUGCAAGUCGCCCGUCUUGAANCACGGACCAAAACCGANGACUGCGAUUUUAUCAAGGAUGCUGGCAUAAUGAUCCCAAACCGCCCGUCUUGAAACACGGACCA